rnacentral:tmRNA from 1 species
GGGGGCGAAAGGCUUCGACGGUCGCUUUGCCCAAGAAUAAGCAAGUCGAGCGCUUACUCGUUAAACAAGCAUUAAAACAUAACUGCCAAUAACAGUUACGCUUCCGCUCCGGCUUUAGCAUACGCUUAAGCCCGAACGGCAUCGGCUCCGUAAUGCCUAAUAACGGAACUCCGGUGUUAUACAUUAGGCAUGCCUAGAGCCGUUUUCUUUGUUGGGCUCUUAGGUUAAAUAAAACAAAGACGGCCGCCCCGAGCCUUAUCGGGGAACUAAGCUUGUAGAAAGUUCUUGGACUAACUUCCGGACGGGGGUUCAACUCUCCCCGCCUCCACCA